rnacentral:lncRNA from 1 species
UUUUACGCCGUUAGUGCUCACUGGAUGGUUGCAUUGCUGCAAAAAAAAAGUCUAAUUUUUCAUACAGGACACGAUACAACUUCAGAAUGAACUGUAUGCUGCGCAAGAGAGGGAACGCUUUCUCGAGGAUGAAGUUCAGCCUCCUUCGAGAAGAGAAUGAAACCCUCAAAGAAAAACACCGAAAAGCCCAAGAGGAAAGAUUGCGGAUGACGAAGCUCCACAAGGCUCCCACAAGACGCGGGACGUAGCCACCUCUGUGACCUGGAAUGUGGUCGCAUUAUGGCUGCAGCUCGGGAUAUACUGUACGAUUGCUGACGAAAAUCAUAACAGAGUCGUCCAGAUAACACAUUCAAAUCACCUGCGCAUGCAUGCCCUAGAAAGCAGUGAUUGUAAUCACUGGGUACUAGAACGCGACUGUUCGAUGCUGUUCGUGGUCAUGGAUUCUGGCGACACCUUGUACUUUACUGACAUAUCCCACGUUCUAUAAUGAAUACCUUCUGAGCUUCAAGCCUUGAUUUUUGAAGUGCUUUUGUCUAUGUAGUAAUGCUUCCAAAGUAUGUGCGACAUAUGAAUGAAAGAAUAGCACUAGAUGUCAGGAAAUGCACACAGUUCUAGGUACAAAGUACUUGCCCUUGCAGGUGGCAAUUGUACAGGUGACCACAAUGUAUCGCCUAUAGUUGAAAACGAAGAAUUGUGUAAAAUAAAACACAUGUUGCUUCGUAA